rnacentral:rRNA from 1 species
UACGGAGAGUGCAAGCAUUAAUCGGAUUUACUGGGCGUAAAGGGCGCGUAGGCGGUUAUUUAAGUUAGGUGUGAAAUUCCUGGGCUCAACCUAGGAGCUGCACUUAAAACUGAAUGGCUAGAGGGUAAAUAGGGAAAACGGAAUUCCAGGUGUAGCGGUGAAAUGCGUAGAUAUCUGGAGGAACACCGGUGGUGAAGACGGUUUUCUGAUUUACAACUGACGCUGAGGCGCGAAAGCAUGGGGAGCAAACAGG